GGCUGUAGUUCAAUGGUUGAGCAACUGCUUUGCAUGCAGAGGGUCUCAGGUUCAAUCCCUGGAGAGAGAACCA